UACGUAGGGGGCAAGCGUUGUCCGGAAUUACUGGGCGUAAAGCGCGUGUAGGCGGGACGGCAAGUCUGGCGUGAAAGGCUCGGGCUCAACUGGGCGGGGUCGGUGGGAAACUGGUCACCUGGAGGACGGUAGAGGCGAGUGGAAUUCCCGGUGUAGUGGUGAAAUGCGUAGAGAUCGGGAGGAACACCAGUGGCGAAGGCGGCUCGCUGGGCCGGACCUGACGCUGAGACGCGAA
rnacentral:rRNA from 1 species